CAGCAGCCACGGUAAUACGAAGGGUGCAAGCGUUACUCGGAAUUACUGGGCGUAAAGCGUGCGUAGGCGGUCUGUCGCGUCUGCCGUGAAAUCCUCAGGCUCAACCUGAGGCGUGCGGUGGGUACGGGCAGGCUAGAGUGCGGUAGGGGAGAAUGGAACUCCUGGUGUAGCGGUGGAAUGCGCAGAUAUCAGGAAGAACACCGAUGGCGAAGGCAGUUCUCUGGGCCGUAACUGACGCUGAGGAGCGAAAGCGUGGGGAGCGAACAGGAUUAGAUACCCCCGUAGUCCCUGUCUCUUAUAC
rnacentral:rRNA from 1 species